rnacentral:rRNA from 1 species
AGGACGAACGCUGGCGGCGUGCUUAACACAUGCAAGUCGAGCGGUAAGGCCCUUCGGGGUACACGAGCGGCGAACGGGUGAGUAACACGUGGGUAACCUGCCCUGUACUGUGGGAUAAGCCUGGGAAACUGGGUCUAAUACCGCAUAUGACUGCAUCCUGCAUGGGGUGUGGUGGAAAGUUCUGGCGGUACAGGAUGGGCCCGCGGCCUAUCAGCUUGUUGGUGGGGUGAUGGCCUACCAAGGCGACGACGGGUAGCCGGCCUGAGAGGGCGACCGGCCACACUGGGACUGAGACACGGCCCAGACUCCUACGGGAGGCAGCAGUGGGGAAUCUUGCGCAAUGGGCGAAAGCCUGACGCAGCGACGCCGCGUGAGGGAUGACGGCCUUCGGGUUGUAAACCUCUUUCGACCGGGACGAAGCGAGAGUGACGGUACGGUAGAAGAAGCACCGGCUAACUACGCGCCAGCAGCCGC